rnacentral:rRNA from 1 species
AUGUGCGAUCAUACCACCACUAAUGCGCCGUAUCCCAUAGAACUCUGCAGUUAAGCGUGCUUGGGCGAGAGUAGUACUAGAUUUGUUGACUUCCAGAGAAGUCCUUGUGUUGCACUUU